rnacentral:rRNA from 1 species
GACGAACGCUGGCGGCGUGCUUAACACAUGCAAGUCGAACGGAAAGGCCCUGCUUUUGUGGGGUGCUCGAGUGGCGAACGGGUGAGUAACACGUGAGUAACCUGCCCUUGACUUUGGGAUAACUUCAGGAAACUGGGGCUAAUACCGGAUAGGAGCUCCUGCUGCAUGGUGGGGGUUGGAAAGUUUCGGCGGUUGGGGAUGGACUCGCGGCUUAUCAGCUUGUUGGUGGGGUAGUGGCUUACCAAGGCUUUGACGGGUAGCCGGCCUGGGAGGGUGACCGGCCACAUGGGGACUGGGAUACGGCCCGGACUCCUACGGGAGGCAGCAGUGGGGAAUAUUGCACAAUGGGCGGAAGCCGGAUGCAGCAACGCCGCGUGCGGGAUGACGGCCUUCGGGUUGUAAACCGCUUUCGCCUGUGACGAAGCGUGAGUGACGGUAAUGGGGAAAGAAGCACCGGCUAACUACGU